rnacentral:rRNA from 1 species
UACGUAGGGACCGAGCGUUGUCCGGAUUCAUUGGGCGUAAAGAGCUCGUAGGCGGCUGUUCAAGUCGAACGUGAAAACUCGGAGCUCAACUCCGAGCCUGCGUUCGAUACUGGACGGCUAGAGUCUGGUAGGGGGAUCUGGAAUUCCUGGUGUAGCGGUGAAAUGCACAGAUAUCAGGAGGAACACCGGUGGCGAAGGCGGGUCUCUGGGCCGAUACUGACGCUGAGGAGCGAAAGCGUGGGGAGCGAACAGG